rnacentral:rRNA from 1 species
ACCCCGAAAGGGGUGCUAAUACCGGAUACGAAGAUAGCACCGCAUGGUGAUAUUUUGAAAGAUGGCCUCUAUUUAUAAGCUAUCGCCGGGGGAUGGGCCUGCGUCCGAUUAGCUGGUUGGUGGGUAACGGCCUACCAAGGCGACGAUCGGUAGCCGGUCUGAGAGGAUGAACGGCCACAUUGGGACUGAGACACGGCCCAGACUCCUACGGGAGGCAGCAGUGGGGAAUCUUCCGCAAUGGGCGAAAGCCUGACGGAGCAACGCCGCGUGGGGUUGAGGAAGUUCUUCGGAACGUAAAGCCCUGUUGUACAUGACGAACGUGCUUUCUAUCAACAACGGGAAGCAAUGACGGUAGUGUACGAGGAAGCCACGGCUAACUACGUGCCAGCAGCGGC